AAGACCUUGCGCUUUUGGAGCGGCCGAUGCCUGAUUAGCUUGUUGGUAAGGUAAAAGCUUACCAAGGCUUCGAUCAGUAGCUGGUCUGAGAGGACGGCCAGCCACACUGGGACUGAGACACGGCCCAGACUCCUACGGGAGGCAGCAGUGGGGAAUUUUGGACAAUGGGGGCAACCCUGAUCCAGCCAUGCCGCGUGAGUGAAGAAGGCCUUCGGGUUGUAAAGCUCUUUCAGCCGGAACGAAACGGUUACGGUUAAUACCCGUGAUUACUGACGGUACCGGAAGAAGAAGCACCGGCUAACUACGUGCCAGCAGCCGCGGUAAUACGUAGGGUGCGAGCGUUAAUCGGAAUUACUGGGCGUAAAGCGUGCGCAGGUGGUUUUGUAAGUCAGAUGUGAAAGCCCCGGGCUCAACCUGAGAACU
rnacentral:rRNA from 1 species